rnacentral:rRNA from 1 species
CGUGUAGGCGGAGAUGCAAGUUGGGAGUGAAAUCCCGGGGCUCAACCCCGGAACUGCUUUCAAAACUGCAUCCCUUGAGUGUCGGAGAGGCAAGCGGAAUUCCUAGUGUAGCGGUGAAAUGCGUAGAUAUUAGGAGGAACACCAGUGGCGAAGGCGGCUUGCUAGACGAUAACUGACGCUGAGGCGCGAAAGCGUGGGGAGCAAACAG